rnacentral:lncRNA from 1 species
GAGAAAUUAUCAUUUUCAAUAGUUAGAGAAAGACGCCAAACCAGUUGGUCAAUUUUAAAUAUGUAUAUAUCUUUUUCAAGUUAAUAUUUUGAAAGUUUUUAUUAAUUUCAAACAUAUUAAGUAUUUUUGUAAAUGAACACUAGUUGCCAAAACUAGACUAAAAUGAACACGCUUCAUCAGAAGUAAUUUUUAUAUGGGAGACAACUCCAGUUUUACCGCGACAAUUUCAUGAGCAAGUAAUAUGUCUCAAUUUACAGUUUACCCAUUAUUUGUAAACAAUGGUAGGUGUAAGAACAUUAUUAUUCAAAGCAUUUUGCAUUAGUUCUCAUGGUCGUUAGGUAACAGAAAAGCUCUUAGAAGCUAGUAAACUGAUGUUCUCUAUUUAUCCCAUUGCAAAGCCCAGUGUUACUUGUUUUCUUAUUUCAUAAGAUUCCCGGUUUGUUUACAUAGUUUUCUGGUUCAAAGUAAAUGCGUGUAUUGAACUUCAUUUAUUGUGUUAUAUGCUAUAUGUAUAAAGUCCCCCAUGUUAUUAUUUUUAGUAUGUGAGCUAGUCCCAGUCCCAAGUUUUAACUUUCAGUUAUCUCCCCUUUUAAUAUGCAAAUUUGUUUACAACUGUUUGCUUGUCUGUAAAUAAUAGCCUUCAGCUAUGUCAUACUGUAAAUACAUAUUUUUAAUAGUAAAAGUUUCUGAGAAUAAGUCGAAAUUAUUAUUAUAGAGAUAUUUGGUUGUUAAAAGAGAACAAAUGAAUAGUUUAUAAUUUGUUUAAUUGUUUACUGCAAAUCCAGGCUGCACAAUUAAGAAACCAGUCAAACACUCUAGAGUUCACACCGUUCAAGGUGAAAUAGUAAGAAACUUCACAGUUCCAUCGUCAGUAUUGAUAUUCAUGAUUUGUUAUUGUAUUGCAUAUAUUGACCGCAUUAAUAUUGUUAUACUUUAUAUUUUAUUAUGUAAUACUGUUAUUAUAUAUAAGACUUUUCAAAUUGAACGCAUUGAGUAAAGACCAAUUCUCAGAAAACAGAUUUGACUAUUUUCAGGCCUGUCAAAAGACUCCCGUCAACAAGAUAUCAUUAUAUAUCUUGUCACAGCUGAAAAUCAUACAGUCAUAUCACCCUGCAUCUGCCUGUCACACUUGCUUCAAAAAGCUCUACCACAAAAGAACAAACAACAAACACCCA